UACGGAGGGUGCAAGCGUUAUCCGGAAUCACUGGGUUUAAAGGGUGCGUAGGCGGAUUUUCAAGUCAGAGGUGAAAGCUUCCCGCUCAACGGGAAAAUGGCCUUUGAUACUGUUAAUCUUGAGUACAGUUGAGGUGGGCGGAAUGUGUGGUGUAGCGGUGAAAUGCUUAGAUAUCACACAGAACACCGAUUGCGAAGGCAGCUCACUAAACUGUUACUGACGCUGAGGCACGAAAGCGUGGGGAGCAAACAGGAUUAGAUACCCUGGUAGUCCACGCCCUAAACUAUGAUCACUCGACAUGUGCGAUAUUACAGUACGUGUCCAAGCGAAAGCGUUAAGUGAUCCACCUGGGGAGUACGAUCGCAAGAUUGAA
rnacentral:rRNA from 1 species